GCAGGUGGGCCCCGCCGCCCCUUCACCCUCCAGGAGCAGGUGAGCCACUGACUAACGCACAUUGUGCUCUCGGCGACUCCACUGUGCGUGUGACAGCGGCUAACCUGCUCCUCGGACAUCGCUGUGCGGCCGCAUCACGUCUCCUCGCCCGCGUGACGCCUCUCGCCCCGAGCGGGACACGAGGUGCAGCGACACGCCGAGGAACCCCCGUCCCGUCCGUCUGCCCGGCCAUCCAUCCGUCUGCUGGCUUGCCAUCGCCCCGUGAGCGAGAGGUGGGAUGCUGGUAGGGAAGAGCCGCAUGGCGCGGGCAGCAGCGGGCCAAGGAGGAAUGGAUCUCCUCUUUCCGUCCCAGUUCGUCUCCGAAGUCGGUCCCAGAGGAGCUAUCUGCUCAUCAGGAAGGAAAAUCGGUGCUUUGCAUGCCUCGUGCAGAGCAAGUGAGUCAGGAUUGCUCCUGUACACCAGAAAGCUGCCUGAAUUUACCAAAGCUGCUUUUGCACUUGCUCUGGAGCUCGGUGCCUCACUGUUGGGAUCCCACUGGCAGAAAUGGCUCUGCAGGUCACUCUGACAAGGAUGGUCCUGCUUCCCAUCACGUAGCACUUGGAGGUAGAGGGAAGUCACAAGUUUUCAUACCAAGACCAUCCUGUUCAGCUCCAGUGAGCAAAGGCAAGGGAUUGAAUGAAGUUUGUUUGUGUUUCCUUUUUUUUCUUUCUAUGCUUUCCUCCAGUAAGUGGGGGAAACGUAUCACUGAUUUCCUAUUUUUAACAUUCUUUUGGCACGAUUCAAAACUAACCUACUGUGCUGUUAUCUGAAGUCUUUAAUAAAUGGUGCUAAACCAGU